AAAAAAAAAAUGAGUGGCCGUUCAAGUCGCACCAUCUAUGUUGGCAAUCUUCCCGGUGAUAUUCGCUUGAGAGAAGUAGAGGAUCUUUUUUACAAGUAUGGUCCCAUUGUUGACAUUGAUUUAAAAAUCCCUCCACGGCCACCUGGUUAUGCUUUUGUUGAGUUUGAAGAUCCUCGUGAUGCUGAAGAUGCAAUUCAUUAUCGAGAUGGAUACAAUUUUGAUGGUUUUCGUUUACGAGUUGAGCUGGCACAUGGUGGGCGGGGAUCUUCAUCAUCAGCAGACCGCUACAGUAGUUAUAGCUCUAGGGGUGGUAGCUAUGGAAUUUCCAGGCGAUCUGACUAUCGCGUUAUGGUUACUGGGUUACCUACUUCUGCUUCUUGGCAAGACUUGAAGGAUCACAUGCGCAGAGCUGGUGAUGUGUGUUUCUCUCAAGUCUUCCGUGAACGUGGCAGUAUGACUGGGAUAGUGGAUUAUACAAACUAUGAUGAUAUGAAAUAUGCUAUCCGGAAGCUUGAUGACUCAGAAUUCCGUAAUGCCUUCUCUCGUGCAUAUAUACGGGUGAGGGAAUAUGAUCGGCGAAGUUAUUCUAGGAGUCCUAGCCGUGAUUCAAGGAGAAGCUAUUCUAGAAGUCGCAGCCCUUACAUGACGCGAAGUCAAAGUCCUAGCUACAGUGACAGGAGCCAAAGCUUGUCUGCACGAGCAAAACGUUCACGACGAUCAUUAUCAAGGUCAGUUUUGAAUUAGUUCGACAAGUGUGCAGUUUUAUUGAUGGGUUGCUAAUUUCCACAUCAACUUAUUAGAUAUUUGGAAUGAUUUUUGAAUAUUUGAAUUUUGAUUGGACCCUUUUGUUCAGAAAAUAAAGGAGGAGUAGGGGACUCUUAAAUGAUAAUCAUAGGUUUAUUAAAUUACUGCUUAUAAAUUUUAAACUGCCAACAAGUUUUAGUUAUUCCCCCCCCCCAUUGACUGGCGCAGCCCUUACUCAUAGAGGCUGAAUUUUUUAAUCAAUCAAAGGUGUGAUGCAGUAUGGCAGGCAGCUGCAUCAUUUAUUGUUAUCAUGAAGUAUUUCCCCUCAUCAUUUAUAUUAAAUGGACGGACUUGCUCGGACCUUUUUUUUCCAGCGAGGAAUGUUUGGUUGCUUUAAUCAUCGUUUGCCUAUUUGGUGUUGUAUCGUGUCUAUCUCUUUGAUAGAAGAUUGGCAGUCUGAAGUGCUGCAUUUGGAGCUUUGCUAUUAGGUGUCCCCUCUCCCAUUGAGGAGAGAUAUGCAGAGUUCUUUCACGGCUUUAUUGCACAUAGUCGAGGGUUUCACUUAUUGUUGUUGUCAUUAUUUUGUAAUUUGAGUGGCAGCGUGUUAUCAGGGUCUUAUGUUGUCAAUAGCAUAUGUGGAGUCUCCCUGUCUUCUUUCUUUAAGUUGAAGUUGAGGGAAUAUUUCAUUUCCUCGUAAUUGUCUGAAAGUGAAUACUGUAAUUCCGUCCAUUCUAUCUCGUAAAACCUAGUGUCUCAUGGGCAUAUCUGCACAAUUCUUCAUUUGUGCGAAGGUGAUGGGGGGAUUACAGUGGGUCACCAGGUUGAGCGCAGGCUAUACAAUGUUCAAUAGGGUUGACUUGUUUGUUUGCUAGAUGUGGAAUUUUGCAGUGACCUGGGGACUGCAUGUUAGGAUCUUGAUGGCAUGCGGUGCUCAAAUGCUUGCAACUUUUUUGGUCGAGGCACGGUGUGCCACUGUUGUAGACUGGAUGAACGUAGAUGGAUGAAUUGCAAUCUAAAAAAGCUGGAUCACUGUGAACUAAGCGCUAUUGGUACUAACCAUAGCAAAUCAGCAUUCUUUCAAUCCAAAAACUGCUUCAACAUAACUCGUGCUCUUGAUUCUUGGAUUGAUCUUGUCCUUUCUUUAGGAUUUCUCUUAUUGUGCUGGCUUUGUCUAUAUAUCUGCUCCUUAACAAGGAAUCAUGCACUGCUGGGAAUGAGUUGUGUAGCAAUUGUUGAGACUAAAAAUAUGAGACACUGUGCUCAAAUACUUUUUCACUUGGUUGCUGCGUGGGACCUGUGGUAGAUCAAUUUCUUUCCCUUUGUUAUGGAAACGCUGAUGUGAAACUGGUAUUGGGCUUGAGGAACAAACGUUUUGGUGGGUUAUUCUGGAUAUUAAGUGGGUUUGUUUGUUCAAAAUUUUGCAGAUCUCGGUCAAGAUCUAGAUCACCAAAUUCAUCUUCUCCACCUCACAAGAGUCGCAGUCCUAGCCGAAGUCCUAGAAGCAUUUCAAAAUCUCGUUCACCUUCAGUGAGAUCUGAGCGUAGCAGAUCUGUUGAAUCCGGAGAUCGUUGACU